GUGAGUAUGGACUUGGCAGUAUUUGAGCAG
rnacentral:piRNA from 1 species